GGAGCUCUUUCGCCGUCUUCCCGCCUCCGUCCGAUCGGCACCUGGAAGGAACCUUUCUCGACGAGGAACUGGCGGCAGGACCAAAUGAGUUGUAAUCCUCCUAUUCUGAGACUGGGAGUGCCCGAGGCAGGAUGCACAGGCCAUGAGCAAAGAAUGGAGACUUUGGAGCGGCCCAGCCAUUGAGCAGCAGGAAAGAUCUGUGCAGCAAUCAAGUCCCUCCCAGCCCUGACGUAGGUGUGUGUGCAAAAGCGUCCCUGCCUGUGCAUGUGGCUGCCAGGGGAAUGUCAAGAACCUCCAGCGCCAUCCCUCGCUGGCUCCCUGCAUGCAUCCUCAUCUCAGAGUGGAGCCCAGGGCUGCAAACAACAGGAGAUAAAAGAAUAAAAGCAUCUUUAAAACAACAGAAACAAAAUUAAAGACAAAGUUUUGAGACUGGUCAGUGGAGAAUGCAGGCAUCAUCAACAGAGAUGGAUAAAAGGUUGUGGGGUGAGAGGAAAUGGGAGCAGCCGAGUCCUGCACAUAGCAACAAAUCUGGGUGCCUUUGCUCCUCUGGGCGCAUCAGACAGCGGAAUGUGUAGACUUUGGGGUGUUUUGCAGCUGGCCAGGGCAGUCAGCUGCCCCAUGGAUUACCUCUCUUUUGCCAAAGUCACACAUGUUUGGAAGCUACAACGCAUCAUGCUUUCCGAACUUGGGUCACUGUGGCGUGAGAGAUGUGCCGUUUUCAUGCACGGGGGAUGCACACGUUGUCUCCUUAUGAUGAAGAUGGAUUGAGGAUUAACUCUGUAAAUGUAAAUUUAAACCUCCUGUUGCACUCCCCUGAGAGUAAACAGGCUGUGAAUCCCUUUUAGCAAAAUAAAAACACUUAUGUGCUUUUGCAGCUUGCUAGAAGCUAGGAAUUAGGAAAUUG